AUUGAACGCUGGCGGCAUGCCUUACACAUGCAAGUCGAACGGUAACAGGUCUUCGGAUGCUGACGAGUGGCGAACGGGUGAGUAAUACAUCGGAACGUGCCCGAGAGUGGGGGAUAACGAAGCGAAAGCUUUGCUAAUACCGCAUACGAUCUCAGGAUGAAAGCAGGGGACCGCAAGGCCUUGCGCUCACGGAGCGGCCGAUGGCAGAUUAGGUAGUUGGUGGGAUAAAAGCUUACCAAGCCGACGAUCUGUAGCUGGUCUGAGAGGACGACCAGCCACACUGGGACUGAGACACGGCCCAGACUCCUACGGGAGGCAGCAGUGGGGAAUUUUGGACAAUGGGCGCAAGCCUGAUCCAGCCAUGCCGCGUGCAGGAUGAAGGCCUUCGGGUUGUAAACUGCUUUUGUACGGAACGAAAAGACUCUGGUUAAUACCUGGGGUCCAUGACGGUACCGUAAGAAUAAGCACCGGCUAACUACGUGCCAGCAGCCGCGGUAAUACGUAGGGUGCGAGCGUUAAUCGGAAUUACUGGGCGUAGAGCGUGCGCAGGCGGUUAUGUAAGACAGAUGUGAAAUCCCCGGGCUCAACCUGGGAACUGCAUUUGUGACUGCAUAGCUAGAGUACGGCAGAGGGGGAUGGAAUUCCGCGUGUAGCAGUGAAAUGCGUAGAUAUGCGGAGGAACACCGAUGGCGAAGGCAAUCCCCUGGGCCUGUACUGACGCUCAUGCACGAA
rnacentral:rRNA from 1 species